rnacentral:rRNA from 1 species
GAUGAACGCUGGCGGCGUGCCUAAUACAUGCAAGUCGAACGAACAGACGAGGAGCUUGCUCCUCUGACGUUAGCGGCGGACGGGUGAGUAACACGUGGAUAACCUACCUAUAAGACUGGGAUAACUUCGGGAAACCGGAGCUAAUACCGGAUAAUAUAUUGAACCGCAUGGUUCAAUAGUGAAAGACGGUUUUGCUGUCACUUAUAGAUGGAUCCGCGCCGCAUUAGCUAGUUGGUAAGGUAACGGCUUACCAAGGCAACGAUGCGUAGCCGACCUGAGAGGGUGAUCGGCCACACUGGAACUGAGACACGGUCCAGACUCCUACGGGAGGCAGCAGUAGGGAAUCUUCCGCAAUGGGCGAAAGCCUGACGGGGCAACGCCGCGUGAGUGAUGAAGGUCUUCGGAUCGUAAAACUCUGUUAUUAGGGAAGAACAAAUGUGUAAGUAACUAUGCACGUCUUGACGGUACCUAAUCAGAAAGCCACGGCUAACUACGUG